GGGGGGGGGGGGGGGGGGGGGGGGGGGGGGGGGGGGGGGGGGGGGGGGGGGGGGGGGGGGGGGGGGCCGAGCCCGGCUCCCGGGCAGCGCUGGGCUCCGGGCCGCGUCCCCUUCCCUGCCCCGCUGCUCCCCGGGGCGCCCGCCGGGCCUUGGAGCCGAGCCCUGCCCGCCCGUGCCCGCGCUGCCGUGCGUGUGCUGCAGGGAAAGCCGGAGGAGGAGGAAGAGGAUCCGUUCACGCUAGGAUGAUAAAAAGCCAAGGUGUCGGGUGGUCUAUGGAUGGAUAAGGAGUGAAAGCAGGAAACAGUUGUCACAACUCGCCUGUCAAAAUCAAUUUACUAGUUUUUAGGCUCAGCUAUUUGGAAGAUAAACCCCAGCCACAAAUGAUGGCUCAUCGAUUUUCAAAGGAAGAUUUAGAUGCGCAGUUUGAAGAGUUUCUGAAAGAGUCUCUUUCAGAUGAUUCACUUGGAAAUUCAAAGAAAAAGUCCAGCAUUCUUGAGAAAUUGGGACAGCCCAGGAAAAAAGAAAAGAAGAAAAAGGAUUCAGUGCCAUGGUGGUUAUCUGAGGAAGAUUCAGAUGAUGGUGGAAUUCUUGAAGCCAAUGGAAACUUUGUCAAGAUGCAGAACACUUCACAGCCUGUGGGAGAAAGCCAUGAAAAUAUGGAUGUAGAAAAGAUGCAGCUUCAGAAAAGUAAUGGAGAUGCUGUUGCUUUGAGUAGAGACAGCCUGGAAGCAAAUGAUUCAGUUUUAGCUUCCGGGCCUAAUCAAAGUGUUAUGGAAGUUGGAUUGGAUACCUUGGAAGAACAAGAGGAAAAAGAGAUCUUCUUUGCCAAGCUCGAACGAGAAGCUUCCUCUACGAUUGAUUAUUCAAGAUUAAAUCAAGAGCUGGAUUCCAAUGAUUCUAUCAUACUAGCACCAUUUGUUCGGUAACUUAGAGGGAAGAAAAGUUGGGGACUGUAUUAGUGGGCGCCUGUGGCUUGGGUAUGGCCACUGAAAUUUCAUUAGAUGAUAUCCUGUAUAUGAUUCAGUCAGGUUUUUUUGUUUGUUUAUUGUGGUUUGGUUUUUUUUUCUUAAAGACAAGGACAGAAAUGAGCUUAAUAAAUAAAAGUGAGAGCAUGACUUAGUGAUGAGUGGAUGCAGCUCCACAGUCUUGUGCAUUACUCAGUAGUACCAACUCAACAUUCAUAAUUGUAUAGAGUAGCUAAAUGAAGAGGUAACGACUAAUAAUAAUAAGGAAGUAGAUCAGGAAAGAUUCUGUCUUCCUUUAGACAUGAUAUAACAAAUGAAUUCUAAAGAAAAGAUACUUAAUCUUCAUAGACUAGGGUGUGU
rnacentral:lncRNA from 12 species